rnacentral:rRNA from 1 species
UACGUAGGGCGCAAGCGUUGUCCGGAAUUAUUGGGCGUAAAGAGCUCGUAGGCGGUCUGUCGCGUCUGUUGUGAAAACUCGAGGCUCAACCUCGGGCUUGCAGUGGAUACGGGCAGACUAGAGUGCGGUAGGGGAGACUGGAAUUCCUGGUGUAGCGGUGAAAUGCGCAGAUAUCAGGAGGAACACCGGUGGCGAAGGCGGGUCUCUGGGCCGAUACUGACGCUGAGGAGCGAAAGCGUGGGGAGCAAACAGG